rnacentral:ncRNA from 1 species
GACUCUGAAUAGCUAUGGCUGAUCGCAUGGUCUUGUACCGGCGACGUAUCUAUCAAGUGUCUGCCUUAUCAACUUUCGAUGGUAGUUUAUGUGCCUACCAUGGUUGUAACGGGUAACGGAGAAUAAGGGUUCGACUCCGGAGAGGGAGCCUGAGAAACGGCUACCACAUCCAAGGAAGGCAGCAGGCGCGCAAAUUACCCACUCUCAGAAUGAGGAGGUAGUGACGAAAAAUAACGAGACCGUUCUCUUUGAGGCCGGUUAUCGGAAUGGGUACAAUUUAAACCUGUUAACGAGGAUCUAUGAGAGGGCAAGUCUGGUGCCAGCAGCCGCGGUAAUUCCAGCUCUCAAAGUGUAUAUCGUCAUUGCUGCGGUUAAAAAGCUCGUAGUUGGAUCUGCGUCUCAGGACCUGGUCCAUCCAUUGGAUGAGAACUAGGCUCCUAGGCUAAUAUUGCCAGUUUUCCCAUACGUUACCUUAAUUGGUUGCAUAUGGUGGCUAGCAAGUUUACCUUGAAAAAAUUAGAGUGCUCAAUGCGGGCUAAUGCCUGAAUACUCGUGCAUGGAAUAAUGAAAUAGGAUCUCGGUUCUAUUUUGUUGGUUUUCUGAUCUGAGAUAAUGGUUAAGAGGGACGGACGGGGGCAUUCGUAUCGCUGCGUGAGAGGUGAAAUUCUUGGACCGUAGCGAGACGUACGACUGCGAAAGCAUUUGCCAAGAAUGUCUUCAUUAAUCAAGAACGAAAGUCAGAGGUUCGAAGGCGAUCAGAUACCGCCCUAGUUCUGACCGUAAACGAUACCAACUAGCGUUCCGUCGGCGGUAAAUACGCCUUGACGGGCAGCUUCCCGGAAACGAAAGUUUUUCGGUUCCGGGGGAAGUAUGGUUGCAAAGCUGAAACUUAAAGAAAUUGACGGAAGGGCACCACCAGGAGUGG